rnacentral:lncRNA from 1 species
CGAGUCGGUUUAUGCUGCAGAAGUGACCCCCGGUUCAGGACAGCCGGUAGAGUUGUCGAUCAACUCAGUCGUGGGGCUGACCACCCCAGGUACUAUGAAGCUAAAAGGGAUGCUCGGCCAAAAGCAAGUGAUAGUUUUGGUUGACAGUGGUGCUUCCCACAAUUUUAUUUCAGCAGACCUUGUCCAACAAAUGGGAUUUCCAUUGACAGGCACCGCAAGCUAUGGGGUGGUCAUGGGGACGGGCUUAACAGUAAAAGGGGAUGGUAUAUGCCGACAGUACCUCUGAAAUUGCCGGGACUGUUGAUAGAAGAGGACUUCUUACCUCUUGAGCUGGGCAGCUCGGAUAUCAUUCUGGGAAUGCAAUGGUUGAGGACACUAGGCAAAAUACAGGUGGACUAGGAUACUCUAACCAUGUCCUUUGACGUCGGGGGGAUCAAGGUAACCCUGCAGGGGGAUCCCAGCCUGAGUAAGAUGCCCGUUUCAUUGAAAUCGAUGUGGAAAGCUUUUAGGGAACAGGGGGAAGGGCUUCUACUGGAAUUGGGAAGCAUCACCGUCAGUCACCGGUCCGCCCCGCCCAGCCCCUCGAGGUUUUUUGCAGAGAUUCUGGAGGAGUUCACAGCAGUAUUCGAGGAAUUUACUCAACUGCCUCCUAAGAGACUCCAGGAUCAUGCAAUUAAUUUGAAACCAGGGGCGGGACCAGUAAGUGUAAGACCGUAUCGCUAUCCCCACUUCCAGAAAAACGAAAUAGAGCAGCUAGUUAAGGAGAUGUUAGCAGCUGGAAUCAUCCAACAUAGCACUAGUCCUUUUUCAAGUCCUGUGCUGUUAGUACGGAAGAAAGAUGGGAGUUGGAGAUUUUGUGUGGAUUAUAGAGCAUUGAACAAAGCCACCGUCCCAGACAAGUUCCCAAUCCCAGUCAUCGAUGAAUUGCUUGACGAAUUGAAUGGAGCUACGGUGUUCUCAAAAAUCGAUCUCAAAUCUGGUUAUCAUCAGAUACGGGUGAAGGCCGAGGAUGUCCCAAAAACAGCCUUCCGAACUCAUGAAGGCCAUUGUGAGUUUCUAGUCAUGCCCUUCGGCUUGACCAACGCACCAGCCACCUUUCAAUCAUUGAUGAACUCAAUUUUCAGAGAACAGCUCCGAAAGUAUGUGCUAGUAUUUUUUGACGACAUUCUUGUUUACAGCCGUACAAAGGAGGAACACCGAGAUCAUUUACGAAAGGUCCUGCAGACUCUAGUAGAGCACCAGCUCUUUGCUAACAAAAAGAAAUGCCUAUUUGGGCAAGAGGAGAUAGAGUAUCUUGGCCACAUUAUAUCAGCAAAGGGGGUGGCAGCAGAUGAAUCCAAGUUGUCAGCAAUGAGGAAUUGGCCACGUCCCCAGACACUUAAAGGAUUAAGGGGAUUCUUGGGGUUGACCGGAUAUUAUCGACGGUUCGUGGAGUCCUAUGGGAAGAUAGCCUGGCCGCUAACUCAACUACUAAAGAAGGACUGUUUCAGGUGGAAUGACGCUGCAGAAUCGGCUUUUGCAAAACUGAAGGAGGCAAUGACAACUGUACCAGUCUUGGCUCUUCCAGAUUUCUCGCAGCCCUUUGUACUUGAGACUGAUGCUUCUGGACAUGGGAUAGGGGCUGUCUUGAUGCAAAAUCAGAGAGUGAGUGCCUAUUUCAGUCAGGUGCUGCCCCAAAGGAGUCAGAAUAAAUCGAUAUAUGAGAGGGAGCUCAUGGCUAUCGUACUGGCAGUGCAAAAGUGGAGGCAUUAUUUGCUGGGAAGGCGUUUUGUGGUUAGAACAGACCAAAAAAGUCUUAAAUUCCUACUCGAACAGCGCUUAGUAAAUGUGGAAUAUCAGAAGUGGUUAUCUAAAUUGUUGGGUUUCGAUUUGGAUAUUGAAUACAAGCCAGGAUUGGAAAACAAAGCCGCAGAUGCCUUAUCCAGGAGGGGAACAGCAGCCACACUGAUGGCCCUUAGUAUACCGAACACAAUCCAGUUAGAGGAGGUGAUAAAAGCGGAGGAAGAAGAUCCUGAACUAAGUCGAAUCAUAUCAGCCAUAAGGGUGGACCCUUCUUCCUGUCCUGGAUUUGCUAUAGUAAGAGGGGCUUUGCUGUAUAAGGACAGGAUCACCCUACCUAAAGGUUCUCCCAUUAUUUCGUUAGCAUUACAAGAAGGCCAUGAUAGUAAAAUGGGCGGCCAUGGGGGAUUCCUUAAGACUUACAAGAGGAUAGUCGGGACUUUUUAUUGGAAAGGUAUGAAGAAGGAUAUUAGAAACUAUGUGGCUGCUUGCGAAGUUUGUCAACAGCACAAGUACUCCACGUUAGCACCUGCAGGACUGCUACAACCUCUGCCUAUACCACAGAAGGUAUGGGAGGACAUCUCCAUGGAUUUCAUAGAAGGGUUACCAAAGUCAGAGGGGAUCGAUUCAAUACUGGUAGUGGUCGACCGCCUAAGCAAAUACGGCCACUUCAUUGGCUUAAAACAUCCUUUCACAGCUCCAACCGUGGCUGCCAUGUUCAUCAAAGAGGUGGUUCGCUUGCAUGGGACACCAAACUCAAUCAUAACUGACAGGGAUAAGGUAUUUAUGAGCCAAUUUUGGAGUGAGU